rnacentral:rRNA from 1 species
UACGUAGGGUGCGAGCGUUGUCCGGAUUUAUUGGGCGUAAAGAGCUCGUAGGCGGUUUGUCGCGUCGGCCGUGAAAUCUCCACGCUUAACGUGGAGCGUGCGGUCGAUACGGGCAGGCUGGAGUUCGGUAGGGGAGACUGGAAUUCCUGGUGUAGCGGUGAAAUGCGCAGAUAUCAGGAAGAACACCCGUGGCGAAAGCGGCUCUCUGGAACGGUACUGACGCUGAGACGCGAAAGCGUGGGGAGCGAACAGG